GCUGUGCUUUUAACCCUUGAAGUGUUUAAAUUGGGGGAAUAUGUGGCAUUCAGAGCAGCACUUCACCUUAGUGCCUAUCUGAACAGAGCACAUUUUCUAAUGUGGUGGCUGAAUGCUUUGGUGAAUGCACUAGCUUAUAUAAGGGUGAUCAAUAUUCUGAUGUCAGUUCUGUUAGGACAGUGGACAAAGGACGGCAUCAAAUUGCAGUACAAAAGGAAGAGAUCUCCAGAGGUCUUCAUACUUUUCAUGUUCUAGAGAUCUAUGACACAAUGUAACCUUAUUUUCUAGGUAACACCAUGCCUAAGGACACAAAUAUCUCAGUUGAAAUU